UAAUGUUAUUGCAAUUAAAUCACAAUGUGAAGCGCCAGUUAUAUCACAUAACUCGCACGAAAACGAGCUAGUUUUCAUUAAUUAAGUAGUUUCUCCAUUACAAUCUUUUGCUCUAGUUCACGGCGUUUAUACCCCGUAGUACAGACCGGUAAUAAGUUUUGUUUGCUCAUGUCUACGGCAAAAAGUAGUGACAAUUUUUCUUUGCCAAGGAACCUCCUUCCAAAGCUAGGCAUGCCAGGUCUUGGACAAGGAAAAUUUGUUCGUGUGUACGGCCCCCAAGGAAAACGUGACAAGUGUACAAAAAAUACUUCUGUGGUUUUGGCAAACAAAAGACGGCCUUGACGUGAGAUAAAUGUUGAACAACAUUCCGUGCACACGAGCAACAAGGGAAACUAUCUUUUCUUUGCCCAAGUUCGCCCAGACGCAUUAUCCAUCUCUAGUAUAAAUCUACACUUAAUCUAUUGAUUGUCACUAUACAUGCAAAAAUCUCACAUCUUGUAGCAAGUCUGAAAUGUGUUUUCAAGGUUGAUGUUUUCAGGCUCGGUGUUUUCAGUGUCGGUUGUUUUCAGGCUCGGUUGUUUUCAGUGUCGGUUGUUUUCAGUGUCGGUUGUUUUCAGUGUCGGUUGUUUUCAGUGUCGGUUGUUUUCAGUGUCGGUUGUUUUCAGUGUCGGUUGUUUUCAGGGUCGGGGUUUUCAGGCUCGGUGUUUUCAGGGUCGGUGUUUUCAGGCUCGGUGUUUUCAGGGUCGGUUGUUUUCAGGCUUGGUGUUUUCAAGGUCGAUCGUUUUAGACCCGGUGUUUCAAGGUCGGUUGUUUUCAGGCUGGGGGUUUUCAGGGUCGGUGUUUUCAGGGUCGGUUGUGAAAGUCUGGGGGUCAUUUUCAGACUCGUGGUUUUCACAGGGUCGGUUGUUUUCAAGGUCGGUUGUUUUCAGGCUCGGUGUUUUCAGGAUCGAUGUUUUUAGUCUUGAUGUUUUCAG